rnacentral:tRNA from 3 species
GCUCAAGUGGCGGAAUUGGUAGACGCGCUGGAUUCAAAAUCCAGUUUUUUCGGAAGUGCGGGUUCGAUUCCCGCCUUGAGUACAA